UACGGAGGGUGCAAGCGUUAUCCGGAUUCACUGGGUUUAAAGGGUGCGUAGGUGGGUCUGUAAGUCAGUGGUGAAAUCUCCAGCUUAACUUGGAACUGCCGUUGAUACUAUAGACCUUGAAUGCUGUGGAGGUGAGCGGAAUAUGUCAUGUAGCGGUGAAAUGACUUAGAUAUGACAUAGAACACCAAUUGCGAAGGCAGCUUACUACACAGUUAUUGACGCUGAGGCACGAAAGCGUGGGGAUCAAACAGG
rnacentral:rRNA from 1 species